rnacentral:lncRNA from 1 species
CAAGAUGGAGCAGGGUAUAGAGAAGCCAUUAGGGAUGAUACAGAACACCACCAAAGGGUUAGUAACGGUGGGGAACUGUUUGCACCCCGAAGCCUGAAAGAGUGAAGUAGGGUGGGAUUACCUGGAAAGAGAGAGAGAGACAGAAGGAGAAUGAGAUUGAGGGAAGGGCUGCCUGGCAGGGGAAGCUGACGCCUUCAGGCAAGUGAAGAAGCCAGCCCGCAGCAACUCUGCAGGGAAGAAUAUAGGGAAAUAAACGCCUUCAUCUCUCUCUUGUCCCACCCGCAGAGCUCCUUCUGGGAUUCUCUAUUGGCUGAACUCAGCCAGAAGCUGCCAAGGGAGACCCCCACAACUGGAUGCAGCCCACUGAAGUCAGCUUCCUGGGGUGCGUAGCUGAAGGUAGCAGGGAGCAAAAAGAAUCUGAAGGGGAAGUGAACAAUGUAGAGCGUAUCUGUGCUGAAGACGUAAGGAGAGAGUGGAGGUCAGAAGCUGGCAUGGUCCCUGGUGCAUGUAUCAGCCGCUAAAGAAGUGGAGAGUAUGAACAUAAGCAAGAGGAAGUGAUGAGUAUCCCUUCCAGGAGAACUCUAAGAGGCAGUGAGUGAUUUGCUGGGCUCCCAAGCCCUCUGCUCUGAUGACAGCAAAGCCCCAAAUCAUGGUGCCUCCAUCAGUCGGGACCCCUCAGCAGAGCCAGCUUCACAGCUGGAGUGGAUGAAUCAGAACUUUCCCCAUGGGAGCAUUUAUAAAAAGGGGACACCCAGCGCAGAAGAUGUUUUCCAGGGAGAUCUCGGGGAGCCCAACAAGCCAAGAAGAGCAGAGCAAAGCAUUCCAAGGAAGGACUCUAAGUCUGCAACCGAGCACACACGAGGGUAGCCUACGCAUGUACGUCUUGCAGUGAUGGCAAGGAGCAGGAGAAAGAAAGCCCAUCCAAACAAGCAUAUUGGAAGCCUAUGUAUCCCAUAAGCUGACAUCUUGUUGCCCAAAGCAUGUCAUGUGCGUGGUCCAGAGUCAGUGUUGAAGGGCUCUGCAAAAUCACAUGGUAAAGACUGUGGUUUCAGGGAGGAGUGAAGAUUUGUGCGCAUUGCUCCAAUUGACAACCAUGGCACUAGGCUCAGGCCACACUUCUUCCUAACAAGAGAGCAAGUCAAAGCGUGGUUAGUUAAAGUCCAUACAAAAACUCACUUUAACAGGCCUCCUCUGGAUUGAACAGCUGAUAUUAAGUCAUAAGGUACCACAUCAGAAAGAUACUGGGUAUCUUUGGUUCAGCAAUUCCAUCACCAGGGACUUUUUCAUCCUAAGGAAAUCACUGCACGGUGGACAAAGAUAUAUGCAUAAGGAUGCUCCUUCUGGCCAAAGACCAAAAACAUAACUGGCCAUCAGUAAAAGCCAACACAAGGAAAGACCAUGUGAAUACACAGCAAGAACGUGGUGCUCUGCAAGUCAGAAACAGACCCGUCAUCAGA